GGUCAUUCUCAGCUGUGACAGUUGCGCUGAAGUUCGCAGUCGGACUUGCUAUGUCUGCUACAGAGAGACAAAGUGAAACAGGCCUUUAACUCUCAGGGACAGUGACACAACUCGCACAACUUAACGGCAGCCUCCCACCGGUGACAAUUAAAUAUGUUUUCCCUGUCAAUGACGGUGCAGCCACAGGUGACUGUACCUCUGAGUCACCUCAUCAACGUCCUCCAUUCACUGAAGAGCUCAGUGGGAAGCAGCAGCAGUGCCACCUGCAAAUCAAGAAAACACAAGGAGCAUGCCUCAGACUCAGAACCACACUGUACAGAGCCUAUGUGGAACCUGCGGGAGUCGGGUUUACUAGACCUGGGAACUCGGCAGCUGGAUGAGCUGAUGAGCCGUGUGUUGCCUCACUUGAGCCCACAGGAGAUGCCACCUUCACUUGGUGGUCAGACAGCCUGGAGGGCCUCACAUCUGUCCACACACUCCUUUUUCCACAAUAAGCAUGGCUUCUCGUCAGGUCCCAUGUUGCCUCCAGUUUUUCCCAGGCAGCACCCUUCACCUCUUCUAUCUGUCUGCACAGAGCUACAAUAUUGGCCAGUGUUGGUUCAGAGCAGAGGCUUUAAAACUUUAAGGAGCAAAACCAGACGACUGCAGUCAGGCUUCGAACGUCCUGCGGAAUCUGAAAGGUUCACACCAUCUUUUAUGAAGGGCUUUCUUACACGUGACAAAGGGAUUGACGUUGAAAAUCUCGACAGCCUCUUGAAGAACAAAAACGUACCUGAUGGACAACAUGAUGCUUUCAAGAGGGGCUUCGCUGAGGGUUUCUUGAAAGCUCAAGCCCUGACACAGCGCACUCAAGACUCUCUGAGGAGGACUCGUCUGAUUCUGCUGGUGCUCCUUCUUGUUGGGCUCUAUGGCAUCUCCAAGACCCCCUUUAUAUCGGUGCGGUUCCGAACCACAUCAGGCCUGGACUCAGCUGUGGACCCUGUGCAGAUGAAAAAUGUGACUUUCGAGCACGUUAAAGGGGUGGAAGAAGCAAAGAACGAGCUGCAGGAAGUGGUGGAGUUCCUGAAAAACCCACAGAAGUUCACAGCCUUGGGAGGAAAGCUGCCAAAAGGUGUUCUGCUUGUUGGGCCUCCAGGGACUGGAAAGACUCUGUUGGCCAGAGCUGUGGCAGGAGAGGCAGAUGUGCCGUUUUACUACGCCUCUGGGUCAGAGUUUGAUGAGAUGUUUGUUGGAGUCGGAGCUAGCCGCAUCAGGAACCUUUUCAGGGAGGCUAAAGCCAACGCUCCGUGUGUGAUCUUCAUUGACGAACUGGACAGUGUGGGUGGAAAAAGGAUAGAGUCUCCCAUGCAUCCUUAUUCCAGACAGACUAUUAACCAGCUGCUUGCUGAGAUGGAUGGGUUCAAACCAAACGAAGGCGUGAUUAUCAUUGGAGCAACCAACUUCCCAGAGGCUCUAGAUAAUGCCCUGAUCCGCCCAGGACGCUUCGACAUGCAGGUGACUGUCCCCAAACCAGAUGUGAAAGGACGCACAGAGAUUCUCAACUGGUACCUGAAGAAGAUUAAAGUGGAUCCAGCUAUUGAGGCCAAUAUUAUUGCCCGGGGCACAGUGGGCUUCUCUGGCGCUGACCUGGAAAAUCUGGUCAACCAAGCAGCUCUAAAGGCAGCAGUUGAUGGCAAAGACAUGGUCACUCUGAAGGAGCUGGAGUUUGCUAAAGACAAAAUUCUUAUGGGCCCUGAGAGGAGGAGUGCAGAAAUAGACAAGAAGAACAAGCUCAUCACAGCGUACCACGAAUCAGGCCAUGCAAUCGUAGCUUACUACACCAAAGAUGCCAUGCCUAUCAACAAGGCUACCAUCAUGCCCAGAGGCCCCAGUCUGGGACAUGUGUCCAUGCUCCCAGAGAACGAUCGGUGGAGUGAGACUCGCUCUCAGCUUCUGGCCCAGAUGGACGUCAGCAUGGGAGGUCGUGUUGCAGAGGAGAUUAUAUUUGGCCAUGAGUACAUCACAACUGGAGCAUCCAGUGACUUUGAUAGUGCCACCAAGAUUGCAAAGCUGAUGGUGACCAGAUUUGGAAUGUGUGAAAAGCUCGGUGUGAUGACCUACACUGACAUGACGGCACAAAGUCCAGAGACACAAGCUGCUGUGGAGCAUGAAGUCAGAGCAUUACUGAAGGAGUCGUAUGAUCGCGCCAAAGCCCUGCUGAAGUCUCAUGCUAAGGAGCACAAGAACCUGGCAGACGCUCUGCUCAUGUACGAAACGCUGGAUGCCAAAGAGAUCCAGCUGGUCCUGGAGGGCAAAACCCUGGAGACCAGAUGAAAGAGAGGGCGGGUGUGGUUUUAAGAGGUUACAGAAAGAAGGAUGGACUUGGAGGCCUGCACUCACAAUGAUCCUGACAAACGCUCAUGUAGGACGAUCACAUCUUAAUGGAAUCUCAUCAUUAUUUCCCAGAUAAGUAGUGCUGUUUUAAACCUAAACAUCUUUACUGUGUUCAGAACUAAGCAGGUGUGAGUCGCGCAGGUUCAUUGUAUGUGAUGAAGGUUUAAAUGCCUAAUGUUAAUGAUCUUGCUCAGGUCACUUUAUUAGCCACUUUAUUAGAGGAAACAAUACAUGAAUGUGAAUAUGUACCUCGAAUAGAAGAACAGCAUCUGGACAAGAUUCUUAUUUUAAAGUUAAUUUCUGACACCAGAGUUGAAAGAGGAAGAUAUUUCUGCUGUAGCCAGGUCAGUGGGAAAUGUACUGUUAGCCCAAAGAGCUACUUUGUAGUCAUGGCGACCAGAAUUUAACUGAAACUCAGCUCAGUUGUCUUCCAGCGUUUGUGUUCGUAUGUGGUAAAUGUCACGUGAAUCUUGCACCUCUGUUAUACUCGGGUUAGUACAAACAGCUGUCACGUCUUUCCAUCUGAUUUUUUUUUUUUUUUGCAUCCAGAUGACUGAACUGAAAACGCUUAUCGGCUUCUGCUGUUCCCGUCUCUUUAUGUCCCUGUUGCUUCUUUUUAAAGGUGGCCUUUUGGGGAAAUGUACCGUAAGCAUAACAUUUUUCUUUCAAGUGGGAAGUGUGCAAACUGCAGUGUCUCAGCACUUUUUCAGAUUCCCACCAAUGAAAAGUUGGGGUAUGCUCAAGAAGUUUUCAAACUGUGAGGGAGGUAUGGAUGGAAAUGUAAGGCAAAGUUUGUGAGCACUUCCCACGGACUGUGAACACUGUCAGAAACACUGGAAUAAACACCAAACCAUGCAGCAGCCCAAACACAAUCACAAGAAACACAAUCUUGAAGAAUGUCCUAAAGAUGUAGCUCCCAGAUGCAGACAGCACCACCACCCCUAAAAUAGUGGACAAAGCUCCUUGCACGAUUGGAUUCCCCAAAUGGGCCAAAGCAUCCAUAGCUUUCUCAUUGGCGUCACUUUUCGUGCUGGAGACGAAAGAGUAAGAAAUAUGUGCUGAGAAAUCUACAGAGAAACCGAUGCUCAUGACCAGGUUGAUCAUGGAGAUGGAGUCCAGAUUUAUGCCCCACAGCGACAUGAAUCCUGUAACGCCAGUGAUGACUGAACAAACUGCAAAAGCCACACAUAUAGAACAGAGAGGAUUUGGUAUCAGGAUGAGUGACGCAACAAGCAUUACAACCACGGCAAUGAGGAUGGUUUGGACGGUGUUUUCUGUGAUGACGGUGUACUGGUCGAAGUAGAUGAAGGCAGGGUGGAACACUAGAAGCUCCACUGGACAUUCCUCUGCUGUUUUCCUGAGUCCAAUCAUCAUGUCUUUCAUCGUAGUUUGGUCUAGCGUCUGGAGGAAAAAGCGAGAAGCCUGGAUGUCACCGUCCACCGUCAGAUUGAUGUCUUGUCUAAACAUGGGGUUGAGUUCUAAGAAAUGUGGCAGGUGGGUGUAGAAGGCCUCUCGGGAGCUUAUGUUGAGAUUAGAGGCAUUAGCAUGGUUUUUAUAGGAGGUAAACCAAGCAAGCGUGUUGUUGACAAAGCUCAAACUUUCAAAACUUGAGUGCAGAUGUUCAUCGUUGCCCCAGUAGGGGAAUGGUUGCUUCACUGCCACCAUCACAUUGCAGCUAAAUUCAGAGAAGUACUGCCUUUGAUGGUUGUAGUAGUCAAUAAUGUAGGAAUCAUCCACAGCCAGAUUCUUGAUGUCGAGUCCUUCGUUUAAGAUGCAACAGCCAUAGAUGCUAACGGCCAGAUAACCUGCGUACAUGACUAACACACAUGCUUUUGUCAGUUUGUGGGUCAAAAAUGGACCGUAGACCCGCUCAAAAAUGUAACUCAUGGCUUCAGUUUCCUCCUUUCCAGUGAUUCGAUUGUAGUGUCCCCCAACACAGCACAUACUGAAGACUUUUGAAUUCCUGGAUGGUACGUCCUCUGGGGUUUUAGCACAGGUGAACCAGUGUUUGUUCUCUGCUUCCCUCUGUCCAUUCAAAGCCAUACACGCCCCCAGGAAAGUGAUGCUGUAGAAAUAGCAGAAGCAAACAGAAACGCCGACGUAGAGGCAGAAGGACCGGACCGAGCCAAAGGGUGAGCUGUAACCCAGGAAGAGAGCCAGAGCGUCGGUCAGGGUGGUGAUGGAGAUGGAGACGGCAGCUUCUCGGUUCUCAGAUGCACCCCUGGUUUGUCAUGUCUGGUUUCAAAAGGCCAAGAUGGCGAUGGACACAAUUUCAAACUCAAGAAGUCCACAAACCAUUGCAUGAUGUCACCAUCAUUUAUAUACAAUCUAUUAGUAGCAAGUUUCAUUUCUUUAAAGGGGAAUUCACCAUUUUAAAAAAAAUGAAAGGUCUUGAAGUGUUCUGCUUUAAUGUGAAGAAGUUCUAUACAGCCUUUUGUGGUUCCACAGGGAACUGUACAAAAUCUGGUAAAUUGCUUCAGUUGCUCUUUGAGUCAGUGUUGGUGUGAAUUACAGGCUACAAGUUUGACAAUGAAAUAAACUAUGGAUCUGGAUUUACA